GAAAACAAAUGAUUUGGGUUCAGAGCCAAUGUCAUUAUUCUUUUCACUGUGUUUGUUUUACAUAUCAUUUCCAAUUAUUUUCUUUUUCAGUUCUAUUAUUUAGUUCUUUUUUUUCUUUGAUUUUUUAUACCCAACUGAGUGUUUCUCAUUUGGUGAGUGCUUUUCUCGUUCCAUCAAAUUUCUCUUUUCUUUUGUUUUCUUUUUUUUCG
rnacentral:lncRNA from 1 species